CCCCCCUGAGGACUGGCUAUUGGAGCAUCACAGAGGUGCAUGCAGGUCCUGCAUGGCAGAAUUGCCUGUGGUAUCUCCUUUGCUGUGCCCAAGCUCAGAAGCAAAAUGGCUUUGAGAUUAUAGGCAUCUGUUACAAUGUUCAACCAAUGUGGAUUAUUUUUCUCUUGAUUUUUUUUUUUUUUUUGAUAGAAGAGAUCCAAUCAUUUUGGUCUGCUUUGCAGGGAGUGAGAGGAAGGAUCAGGAGGGUGUUUUCAGAGUGUUCUGUGAUUCUUGAGUUGUAAAUACAGUUUAUGCAACAUCACUAACCUGAUAUGAAGGUGGAAGAUUCAUCCAGCUUGACGGAAAUGGGGAAAAGGAGACAGGCAGGAUGAUGACCACCCAAGCAGCCUUCUCCACCCUCCCCCAGUGAAAUCCUGAUGAGAGACCUGGAUGGAUGUCAUAUUAAAUCUGGCAAUGUUUAGGCUUCUCUUGUCACCGUUCUCAAGUGAAAACAGUACAUGAUAUCACUGGAUCAAGCUGGUUACUCCCUGCCUGUAAUGGAGCAUGACAGCCAAGUUCCACCUGUGCCUUUUUUCACCAUGAUGUUUGGCCAGUGGCCGAAGCUGCUUGGCUACUUGGCUGUAUAAGAAGGAAACUAAACUGUAACUGAGAUGAUUAAUCUGAUUCUAUACUCACAACAGGCAGACCUUUGAAGGGCUUUGGGACACAAAGAGUAGAGACUGUAAUGGUUGGUAGCACUUUUUUUUUAGGCUCUGAAGAAGAAAUUAACCAAUGAACUUGGGUCCAUUGAUCUGGCAUUAUUAGUAUUUGGAAAAUAAAAUGGUAGCUCUAUCUGCAUUGGCCAUCAAGUCGCAUGGCCACAGUUUAUUACUGGGCUGUUCAUUACUCAUCAUACUCUCCUUUCCAGAGAAGAUCCCUCGAACAUAGAUGCUCCAUAUAAUACGUUCACACUGAUUCACAAAAAGUGAGCAGCCAUUCACUUUUGCACGUGAAACCACUCCAAGAGGAAGCAGGGCACCAUCAUCCCCAUUGGCUGACAGGGAAACUGAGGAUGAAAACAUUAGGCAGUUGGCCUAUUCCAUACAGCAAAUGAAUGGCUGCCCCAGUCCUUGAAUCCAUACCAGCUAACAGAGUACAUGCUUACCGGUAUCCUGCUAGCUGCUGGCUUCCGGCCUUCAGCCCAGCGCUCUUACUUCCAUGACAUAGACUUUUCUCUGGCCUCAACAUCAGUGUCAUCUUGAGUAACCAUGGCUUUGUCCUGUAACUCUGUGAGCUUGACACUCAAACUCAUCAGUUCUGUCCACAAACCCAUGCAAGAGCUGUUGGCAAACUUAUACAAAUCUUAAAAUACAUUUUUUUUCUGAGCCUUCACAAUUAGUGCCUCUAUUCCAGGUGGUAAAAAAACAAAACAAAAACCAGCAAAACAAACAAACAAACAAACAAACAAACAAAAAAAACCCAACAACAUCAACCAAAAAAACCCUCAUCGGGGCAUACUGAAACACUAUAAUGUGUCAUCUAGAAAUACCCUAUUCAGGGCACACAGAAACACUAUAAUGUGUCAUCUAGAAAGCAAAAGUGUACAUGGAAUAUGUUUUGUGAUUCUUCUCUCAGCAUGGAGAUACAAGUGUAAAAGAGAAUUAAUUUGUGUCAAGUAUAAACUCUGUCAUUAAACUAAAGGUUAUCAGUGAAUAUAAUGGCCACAUAUUAUUACAUCUACUUCCUGUUGAUAUAUUAGU
rnacentral:lncRNA from 1 species